GUUUCGGCUGUCACUGCAGGAUGGGCCCGCGGCGCAUUAGCUAGUUGGUGGGGUAACGGCCCACCAAGGCGACGAUGCGUAGCCGACCUGAGAGGGUGAUCGGCCACACUGCGACUGAGACACGGCCCAGACUCCUACGGGAGGCAGCAGUAGGGAAUCUUCCGCAAUGGACGCAAGUCUGACGGAGCAACGCCGCGUGAGUGUCGAAGGUUUUCGGAUCGUAAAACUCUGUUGUGAGGGAAGAAACCGUACCAGCUAACUACUGGUACCUUGACGGUACCUCACCAGAAAGCCACGGCUAACUACGUGCCAGCAGCCGCGGUAAUACGUAGGUGGCAAGCGUUGUCCGGAAUUAUUGGGCCUAAAGCGCGCGCAGGCGGUCCCUUAAGUCUGAUGUGAAAGCCCACGGCUCAACCGUGGAGGGUCAUUGGAAACUGGGGGACUUGAGUGCAGAAGAGGAAAGUGGAA
rnacentral:rRNA from 1 species